rnacentral:misc_RNA from 1 species
GACGAACCGUACAAACGUUAUUCGGAAUCACUGGGCUUAAAGGGUGCGUAGGCGGUGCGGAAAGUUGGGUGUGAAAUCCCUCGGCUUAACCGAGGAACUGCGCUCAAAACUACCGCGCUCGAGGGAGAUAGAGGUGAGCGGAACUUAGGGUGGAGCGGUGAAAUGCGUUGAUAUCCUAAGGAACACCGGUGGCGAAAGCGGCUCACUGGAUCUCUUCUGACGCUGAGGCACGAAAGCUAGGGUAGCGAACGGG